AUUGAACGCUGGCGGCAUGCUUUACACAUGCAAGUCGAACGGUAACAGGCCUGCGGGCGCUGACGAGUGGCGAACGGGUGAGUAAUGCAUCGGAACGUGCCCAGUCGUGGGGGAUAACGCAGCGAAAGCUGUGCUAAUACCGCAUACGAUCUACGGAUGAAAGCAGGGGACCGCAAGGCCUUGCGCGAACGGAGCGGCCGAUGGCAGAUUAGGUAGUUGGUGGGAUAAAAGCUUACCAAGCCGACGAUCUGUAGCUGGUCUGAGAGGACGACCAGCCACACUGGGACUGAGACACGGCCCAGACUCCUACGGGAGGAAGCAGUGGGGAAUUUUGGACAAUGGGCGAAAGCCUGAUCCAGCCAUGCCGCGUGCAGGAUGAAGGCCUUCGGGUUGUAAACUGCUUUUGUACGGAACGAAAAGACUCUGGUUAAUACCUGGGGUCCAUGACGGUACCGUAAGAAUAAGCACCGGCUAACUCUGUGCCAGCCGCCGCAGUAAUAC
rnacentral:rRNA from 1 species